rnacentral:rRNA from 1 species
AGGACGAACGCUGGCGGCGUGCUUAACACAUGCAAGUCGAACGGAAAGGCCCUUCGGGGUACUCGAGUGGCGAACGGGUGAGUAACACGUGGGUGAUCUGCCCCGCACUUUGGGAUAAGCCUGGGAAACUGGGUCUAAUACCGAAUAGGACCAUGGGAUGCAUGUCCUGUGGUGGAAAGCUUUUGCGGUGUGGGAUGGGCCCGCGGCCUAUCAGCUUGUUGGUGGGGUUAAGGCCUACCAAGGCGACGACGGGUAGCCGGCCUGAGAGGGUGUCCGGCCACACUGGGACUGAGAUACGGCCCAGACUCCUACGGGAGGCAGCAGUGGGGAAUAUUGCACAAUGGGCGCAAGCCUGAUGCAGCGACGCCGCGUGGGGAUGACGGCCUUCGGGUUGUAAACCUCUUUCAGUAGGGACGAAGCGCAAGUGACGGUACCUACAGAAGAAGCACCGGCCAACUACGUGCCAGCAGCCGC